rnacentral:rRNA from 1 species
UGGGUGGUAAUGCCGGAUGCUCCAGAUGACCGCAUGGGAUUCUGGGAAAGCUUUUGCGGCAUGGGAUGGGGUCGCGUCCUAUCAGCUUGUUGGUGGGGUGAUGGCCCACCAAGGCUUCGACGGGUAGCCGGCCUGAGAGGGCGACCGGCCACAUUGGGACUGAGAUACGGCCCAGACUCCUACGGGAGGCAGCAGUGGGGAAUAUUGCGCAAUGGGCGAAAGCCUGACGCAGCGACGCCGCGUGCGGGAUGGAGGCCUUCGGGUUGUAAACCGCUUUUAUCGGGGAGCAAGCGAGAGUGAGUGUACCCGUUGAAUAAGCACCGGCUAACUACGUGCCAGCAGCCGCGGUAAUACGUAGGGUGCAAGCGUUAUCCGGAUUUAUUGGGCGUAAAGGGCUCGUAGGCGGUUCGUCGCGUCUGGUGUGAAAGUCCAUCGCUUAACGGUGGAUCUGCGCCGGGUACGGGCGGGCUGGAGUGCGGCAGGGGAGACUGGAAUUCCCGGUGUAA